UACGGGGGGGGGCAAGCGUUGUUCGGAAUUACUGGGCGUAAAGGGCUUGUAGGUGGCCAACUAAGUCAGACGUGAAAUCCCUCGGCUUAACCGGGGAACUGCGUCUGAUACUGGAUGGCUUGAGUGUGGGAGAGGGAUGCGGAAUUCCAGGUGUAGCGGUGAAAUGCGUAGAUAUCUGGAGGAACACCCGUGGCGAAGGCGGCUCACUGGGCCGGUCCUGACGCUGAGACGCGAAGGCGUGGGGAGCGAACGGG
rnacentral:rRNA from 1 species